rfam:Stegodyphus mimosarum contig94462, whole genome shotgun sequence.
GCCUUCGUGGUGUAAUGGUCAGCACACUGAGCCGGUAAAAUUCAGAGGUCCGUGGUUCGAUCCCCGGCGAAGGCA